rnacentral:rRNA from 1 species
GGAGGGUGCGAGCGUUGUCCGGAAUCACUGGGCGUAAAGGGCGCGUAGGCGGCGCAGUAAGUAGGGGGUGAAAUCUCAUGGCUCAACCGUGAAACGGCCUCCUAAACUGCUGUGCUUGAGCACGGUAGAGGCAGAUGGAAUUCCCGGUGUAGCGGUGGAAUGCGUAGAUAUCGGGAAGAACACCAGUGGCGAAGGCGGUCUGCUGGGCCGUUGCUGACGCUGAGGCGCGACAGCGUGGGGGGAGCAAACAGGAUUAGAUACCCUGGUAGUCCACGCCGUAAACGAUGGGUACUAGGCGUCGGGGGGAGCGACCCCCCCCCUUCGGUGCCGUCGCUAACGCAGUAAGUACCCCCGCCUGGGGAGUACGGCCGCAAGGCUG